rnacentral:rRNA from 1 species
UGGGGAAGGAAUUGCCAUGGGGGAACCCUGAUGCAGCGACGCAGCGUGCGGGAUGACGGCCUUCGGGUUGUAAACCGCUUUCAGCAGGGAAGAAGCGCAAGUGACGGUACCUGCAGAAGAAGUACCGGCUAACUACGUGCCAGCAGCCGCGGUAAUACGUAGGGUACGAGCGUUGUCCGGAAUUAUUGGGCGUAAAGAGCUCGUAGGUGGUUGGUCACGUCUGCUGUGGAAACGCAACGCUUAACGUUGCGCGUGCAGUGGGUACGGGCUGACUAGAGUGCAGUAGGGGAGUCUGGAAUUCCUGGUGUAGCGGUGAAAUGCGCAGAUAUCAGGAGGAACACCGGUGGCGAAGGCGGGACUCUGGGCUGUAACUGACACUGAGGAGCGAAAGCAUGGGGAGCGAACAGGAUUAGAUACCCUGGUAGUCCAUGCCGUAAACGUUGGGCACUAGGUGUGGGGGGCAUUCCACGUUCUCCGCGCCGUAGCUAACGCAUUAAGUGCCCCGCCUGGGGAGUACGGUCGCAAGGCUAAAACUCAAAGGAAUUGACGGGGGCCCGCACAAGCGGCGGAGCAUGCGGAUUAAUUCGAUGCAACGCGAAGAACCUUACCAAGGCUUGACAUACACCA